ensembl:lncRNA
AUAUAAACUCAGAAGUGCAAGAAUAAGUGUCCAUUUGUGAAAUAAAAUGGCAUAAUUAUUUUAUUUUCUGGUGGAAAUAAGCUUUAAAAAUAAAAUAAAACAAAACAAAACAAAACAAAACAAAACAAAACAAAACAAAACAAAACAAAACAGCAGAAGAAAUGCCCUUCACUUUACUAUCUGCCUCUUGUAAGUUCCCAAACGAGAUCUCAUCUCAACUGCUUCUCCUAGACAGGCACAGGACAGAGAGUAGAUCACAUGGAGACUAAAGUCAGAUGAUUCUCCUGAGAAAAACCUGAGAUCUCAGCAAACUGCUCAAACGUCUCAGAUUUGCCAAAUGAUUCUCUGAAGGUCAGCUGAUCCGAGCUUCUCUCCACAUACAUUUCACAGCUGCCCCACAGCUUGUUUGUGUGAUGAUUGUGAGAUCUCCAUCGAGUCUCCAGAGCGAUCAAAGAGACCCAGCCGAGAUCGAGCAAUAACAUCCAGAAGGCCUGUGCAUCUUCAGCAUCUCUCGCAGAUCGUUCGCGCCCCACGGCCUCCUCAGAGAAGCUCUUCUGCCCGUCUGCAAUAAGAGAAGAUAUUAGUGGAGAGACGGUCGAGAGCCAUUCAGAGAUAUUGGACAGCAAAAUUCAAUAAGUUGAAGGAGAGGGGAAGCGUCCAAGCAGGCAAUUUUCAAAAGCGCCGGCGUCCUGAGCUGCGGACGAACGCAUCAAAUAGUGAACCGGCUCCAGAAAUGGCUCGUUUGGAUCCGAGGGGCAAGAUGACGUCACCUGGGUACAAACAUUUGCAUAAAAAUGCCUCCAGAGCAAGACAUCGACGUAUAGUCUUCUUCUCAGCAUAGGCCCCUCCCACUGGCUUUCACUCGCUAACGGACGACACGUGAUCAUGCUGAAUGUGAGUGUCGCAUCAAAAGCAUAUAGAAAUCACAAUCACUGCACUAUCUUGUCUACACUGUAUACAGUAAGAAGAUAUGAGUCUGUCAUCAUGACAAAUGAGUGAAAAAUCAUUUGUUUUGUCGUGUUUGGUUUAAACAGCUCGGUCAUGUCUUCGUACAGAUAUCAGAAGGACCCC